AACGCGAAGAACCUUACCGGGGCUUGACAUCAGGGGACAUUCGUAGAAAUACGACUUCGGGGCAACCCGACCCCUAGACAGGUGCUGCAUGGCUGUCGUCAGCUCGUGCCGUGAGGUGUUGGGUUAAGUCCCGCAACGAGCGCAACCCUCGUCGUGUGUUGGUCCGCAAGGAUCUCUCACGCGAGACCGCCGGUGAGAAGCCGGAGGAAGGUGGGGAUGACGUCAAGUCAGCAUGGCCCUUACGUCCCGGGCUACACACGUGCUACAAUGGGUAGGACAACGAGUUGCGAGCUAGUGAUAGUAAGCCAAUCUCUGAAACCUGCCCUCAGUUCGGAUUGAAGGCUGCAACUCGCCUUCAUGAAGUCGGAAUCGCUAGUAAACGCGGAUCAGCUACGCCGCGUUGAAUACGUUCCCGGGCCUUGUACACACCGCACGA
rnacentral:rRNA from 1 species